rnacentral:lncRNA from 1 species
CGUCCCGUGGCCACGCAGCCGUCCCACGGCCACGCUGGCCCUUUCUGCACCCAGCCUCCAAUGCCAUCAACAUGUCUGUGUGGUAACAACAUAGCUACUARUACAGGAGGGAAAUUUUGAGAAAUCAGUUUCAGCCUAGCCUUUAUGACGUGUCCUUCACUUCCUUUGCUGCCUUGAUUUUCACUCACACUUAAUUACAGGUAUUACGAGCAAGCCCGGUGAAGUCCACGUCUCCAUUCAUCCAUGAGGAUGUGCUCAUCCAUGGAGGACGGGGACCCAGAGUUUAUGAGUCUGUGAGUUGGGGCCACACAACGACACUCUUACAUGUAUAUUCCAUAGAUAGUGGAAACAUCCUUCCUGAAGACAAUGGAAGACACAGACCAAAUAAAGAAGGAAAUCUGGGUCAAUGAAAAUUAAAAAAUGGAGUCUAAACCAAAAUAUCUCUGCAGUAUGGAAAGGCACUUAGUAAUGACUCUGAAUUCAGAAUUAAUCACAGAAUUACAGCAAGGGUGGCAGGAAAUGGUAGAGAAGAGAAACAUGCUGAAACCAGCUGUCGCAGUAUCCUGUCUCCAUGGGAAGGAGAAUCUUGCAAGAACAGCUAUCCAAAUAGGUGCUUCUGGAUCUGGAGAGGAGACAUACUAGACAUCUGUACAACUUAUUGUGCAGUAUYAUACACAAAUUUGAUUUUGCUAAGUCCAGUUUCACAUCACCAGAUUUUAGUGGAUUUUUCAAUGUAAAAACUAUGUUACACAUUGUAAAGAAAUGUGAUGAGAACAAUGUGUUUUAUUAAGUGUUAUCUACCGAUAUUUUUGAAGGAAAAAAGAAAUGUAAAAAGACCUUUGCCUGUGCUUAAAAACUAAUUUCAACUUAUAUUCAUAUUUUACUCUUAUUUUAAGUGACUAGCUAAAUUAAAAAACCUACUGGUAAAAAUAUGCCUCAGUAAAGAGGAAAUGCUCCCCAAGAUUCAGCAUUAUGUUGUUUCUGCAACACAUUAAGUUAAUCCUUAAUUGAUACAAGGAAAAUAGUUUCACUUACAUUGACAGCUACAGAGCAAAAUUAUUUUCUGCAACACCUAACUAACUUUGAAAUGAAAGUUAAUGUCAUCCCACUUAAAUGUAUGCUGUUAACUAUUUAAAUCCUGUCCUAGAAUAAACAUUCAGUUUACUAUGCUAUCUUACA